rfam:Dipodomys ordii contig_4254, whole genome shotgun sequence.
GGUAGCUCAGUGGUAGAGUGCUUGCCUUGCAUGCAUGAGGCCUUGGGUUCGAUUCCUCAGCACCA